CAUUUUUACAUUAAAUACGUAAUUUUUUACCGCAGAUGUAGGUUUUUAAAGGUCCGGUCUAAUAAUCUGCCUGCGCUCCUCCUACUUAUUCUAAAAUGUUAGCGUGAUUGACAAAGACGAUACUAUAUCGCAUUUCUUUGAUCGAUUCGUUUUUGUGCGUCAGUCCAUUGGUGUGCUUGCAGUGCGACCAAUAGACCAUUCCAGAAUGACGUCACUGACAGGUCGGCAAAAUUUGCUGGGAGGCACACAAACCAAUUAAUUUUCACGUUGUCCAUAUGUAAACACAAUAAUCCAAGGUUUAAACGAACUUAAAACAGUGAAAAAUGCCUCAUUUUUAUUGUGUUAUUAAGUGUUUAAUGCGUGAUAAUGUCUAAUUUUUCCCAAAUCAUGCUGCUUUGACCAACAGAGGAAAUAAUUUAAAUACAUUAUCUAAUGUUCGAAGAGAAGUGUGGUUAAAAGCUUUGAAAUGAAAGGCCCCUGUAUGAAAGUGAGAUUAAAAAGAAACGAAUUUGUUCCAAAGACUUUAUAACUGAUAAGUCUAAUUCAGCCAAAAUUUGGGAUAUUCUUCCUGUCUCCAACUACUUCCUGUCUUCAACCCUACAAGUCAUCUUCUAGAUUUGGCAGAUUAAGAAAAAGAUUUAAAAAUGAAUCAGAGUUAAAGAUGUUGCUAUAAAAGAUGAAAAUCGACUAGUGAAUUUUCAUAAUCCUCCAAUCGUUAAUCAACUUUAUUCAAUUUAAAUCGUCUGAGAUAGAAGACG